rnacentral:rRNA from 1 species
CCCUUAGAUGUUCUGGGCCGCACGCGCGCUACACUGAGUGGAUCAGCGGGUCAGGUUGCGCGAAAGUGUUUCCUAAUCUUUAAAUCCGCUCGUGAUGGGGAUUGACGGUUGCAAUUUUCCGUCAUGAACGAGGAAUACCUUGUAAGCGCGGGUCAUCAUCCCGCGCUGAAUACGUCCCUGCCCUUUGUACACACCGCCCGUCGCUACUACUGAUUGAACUGGUUUUUGAAGUGUAGAGAUUGGCAGGCAUGUUUACGUGCAUUGCAAAGAACCACUCUGAAAAAAUCGUUCGAGAAGAAGUAAAAGUCGUAACA